UCAUUAAAGUUCUCUGAAAAAAAAAAUAAAUGAAGAAUUUACGAUGAAUUAUUAUAUUAAAAGGGGGAGUAUGGUGUGAACAAGUUAAUAUAGAUUUAAGUAAAGUAGUCAAGUCAAAAGAAGAAAAAAUGGAUUAUGAGCAGAGCAGCAGACAGCCGAACAUGCCAACAACCACACCACAUAUUUCCAUCCAUCCAUCCAUCCUCAUACUAUUGGUCAAUUAAUUUGUAUGUCACCUUUGAUAAAUUUAUGUCGGGACACUUAAAUUACGUAAUUUAAUAAGUAUUUUUUCACGAAGAAGUAAAAAGAUAAUCUCUUUAUUUUGAUAAUAGCAUUAAGUAAUUCAAAUCUGAUAAUUUUAUCGAAAUUUCUGGAUUUGUUUGAUUGAUGUUGGUAAUAGAUAGAGGAUGGAUGAGUUAUACUAACUAAUGUAGCAACAAGUCAAAACAACCACACAGCAGCUAGGACGCCAUCUCUCACACUCCCACUCUCUCACCUCUCUCUCUCUCUCUCUUUCUCUCUCUCUCCCUCUCUCUCUCUCUCUCCCUCUCUCCCAAGUCACAAAUGCUUGUGGUUGUUUAGUUUGACAGUUGACAUAGCAGCUUAAGUUAGACCUAUUCAAAGUGUGAUGGAUUUUUCAACAAAUUCUAUCAGCAAAAGCAAUAAGUUUUCAACCCUUUCCUUGGUUGAGUGGUAUUCUAAUGCUAUGCAGGUGCAUUAGACCGAGGAUUCCAACAAUCCUUUGAAUUUCUUGAAAUGAAAGUAAACCACAGCUCUUGGGAAUACUUUUUAAACAAAUUCUCCACCAGCUAAGUAUCUUGGAUCACUAAUAAAAAGGCCAUAUAUAAAACUAUUGCCACACAACCUUGUAUUAAUGAUAAAAAACGCCGAUAUUGGUAAGUUCUUAAUGAACACCCUAAAGUUUUAGAACUUACCAAAAGCUUUGAAAAACUAGCCUAACUCUAGCCCACGACAACACUAAACACUCGUAUUAUACGGUUUUCGUCAACUAAUUGAUCAUGUGAUAUCACCGAAACUAUAAAUUAGUUACAAUGAGGAAUCUCCAUUACAAAACACCAAAAUCUACGGCUCAUAAUCUCAAAUUCCCAAACCUAACAUGUAAAAAAUGCAAAUUCCAACCCCAAAAAUUGAAUUUUACAUCAAAUCGAGGAUUUAGGGAUUCGGAUUUGGGCCAAUCCAGCAUGCAUCCCAAUCCCACUUUAGGGCUACAAAAUUAAAAUUAAAACCGC
rnacentral:lncRNA from 1 species